rnacentral:rRNA from 1 species
GACGAACGCUGGCGGCGUGCCUAACACAUGCAAGUCGAACGAAGUGGCGGACGGGUGAGUAACGCGUAAUCAACUUGCCCUUCAGAGGGGGACAACAGUUGGAACCGACUGCUAAUACCGCAUACUGAAGGAGGGGAUUGAGUGGGAUAGGCUGGUUGGAGGGGUAACGGCACACCAAGGCGAUGAUCAGUAGCCGGUCUGAGAGGAUGAACGGGCACAAUGGGACUGGGACCCCGGCCCGGCUUCUACCGGAGGCAGCAUGGGGGGAUCUUCCGAUAUGGAGGAAAAUCUGACGUAGCAACGCCCCAGGAGUGAUGAAGGCCCUCGGGGUUGAAAGCUCAUUUAAGCGGGAAGCGGUACCGGAAUAAAAAGCCACGGCUAACUACGUGCCAGCAGCCGCGGUAAUAC